rnacentral:rRNA from 1 species
AGCGAACGCUGGCGGCAGGCCUAACACAUGCAAGUCGAACGAACUCUUCGGAGUUAGUGGCGGACGGGUGAGUAACACGUGGGAACGUGCCUUUUGGUUCGGAAUAACUCAGUGAAACUUGUGCUAAUACCGAAUGUGCCCUUCGGGGGAAAGAUUUAUCGCCAUUAGAGCGGCCCGCGUCUUAUUAGCUAGUUGGUGAGGUAACGGCUCACCAAGGCGACGAUCAGUAGCUGGUCUGAGAGGAUGACCAGCCACACUGGGACUGAGACACGGCCCAGACUCCUACGGGAGGGAGCAGUGGGGAAUCUAGCGCAAUGGGCGAAAGGCUGACGGAGCCAUGCCGGGUGAAUGAUGAAGGUCGUAGGAUUGUAAAAUUCUUUAACCGGGGACGAUAAUGACGGUACCCGGAGAAGAAGCCCCGGCUAACUUCGUG